CCUGUGGGAGGCAGCAGUGGGGAAUAUUGGGCAAUGGGCGCAAGCCUGACCCAGCAACGCCGCGUGAAGGAAGAAGGCUUUCGGGUUGUAAACUUCUUUUCUCAGGGACGAAGAAAGUGACGGUACCUUAUGAAUAAGCAUCGGCUAACUCCGUGCCAGCAGCCGCGGUAAUACGGAGGAUGCGAGCGUUAUCCGGAUUUAUUGGGUUUAAAGGGUGCGUAGGCGGUUUUUUAAGUUAGUGGUUAAACGUCGGGGCUUCACCUUGAUUUGCCAUUAAUACUGUAAGACUCGAGUUCAGACGAGGUAGGCGGAAUAAGUUAAGUAGCGGUGAAAUGCUUAGAUAUAACUUAGAACUCCGAUAGCGAAGGCAGCUUACCAGACUGCGACUGACGCUGAAGCACGAGAGCGUGGGUAGCGAACAGGAUUAGAUACCCUAGUAGUC
rnacentral:rRNA from 1 species